ACAUUUGAGACGGCUACAUUGUUUAAUUCAAACUACAUGCUUAAAGUACAAGUAGAUCUCAAGUCUUCCUCAGUUGUCAGAACCUGUAAAAGAAAACCACAACGUGGGAUGAGCUACACAGCCCAGUGAGGUUCCAAGACGCUCUAACAGUUCAAAAUAGGUCAAGUAAGUUGUGCAUAUCAUAUGCAUGAUUCGAGGUUAC